CCUACGGGCGGCAGCAGUGGGGAAUAUUGGACAAUGGGCGCAAGCCUGAUCCAGCAAUGCCGCGUGUGUGAAGAAGGCCUGCGGGUUGUAAAGCACUUUAAGCAGGAAAGAAGGGCGGAGCGAUAAUACCGUUUCGCAUUGACGUUACCUGCAGAAUAAGCACCGGCUAACUCCGUGCCAGCAGCCGCGGUAAUACGGAGGGUGCGAGCUUUGAUCGGAAUUACUGGAGGUGAAUUGAUCGUUGGCGGUUGGAAGCCCUGGGCUUAACCUGGGAACUGCGGUGGAUACUGUCGGGCUAGAGUGUGGUAGAGGGGAGUGGAAUUUCCGGUGUAGCAGUGAAAUGCGUAGAGAUCGGAAGGAACACCAGUGGCGAAGGCGGCUCCCUGGACCAACACUGACGCUGAGGUGCGAAAGCGUGGGGAGCAAACAGGAUUAGAUACCCGGGUAGUC
rnacentral:rRNA from 1 species